rnacentral:lncRNA from 1 species
GGGUUUUGAGUGAAAUCUAAUGGCUAAAACUGUGCAAUACACCAACCACUCCAUUUCGUAAAGAACUUCAUACGGACCUGAAUUGCCCAAUUUCAUGGACCAAUCCAUAUCGGAUUGAGUCCAAAACUUGGAACAUCAUAAUAAGGUGGGAGGAGUCAUUUGGUGGGUUUUGAGUGAAAUCGUCUAGAACUAUGCAAUACACCAA